UUUUUUUAUUGUCUUUCAAUGUUCGGUUACGUUUCCAAACCCUAGAAUGCAAACGUAAGCUGACAGGGUAUAAGCAAUGAAUAGGUGAUUUAUGGGCGAGAGAAUGGUACUUUGCAUGUCCUAUCUCAGGCGAAGUGAUAUGAUGUGUUGAAUAUGAGCCAUGGAGGUGGGGAGAGUGGAAGAUUGCUUGAAAAAUCACAACAUGCGAAGAGAAAAUCUGGUGCAAGUGGUGAUGAAUUCGCCCAAGCAAUUGCAAAGAUUGCUGUAGCUCAAAUAUGUGAGAGUGCUGGGUUUCAGACCUUUCAGCAGUCUGCUCUUGAAAUAUUAUCUGACGCCACCAUUCAGUAUAUAAGAAAUCUGGGAAAGCUUGCCCAAUCCUAUACAAAUUUAGCAGGCAGAACAAAUGUUAAUGCUCUUGAUGUUAUUCAAGGAUUGGAAGAGUUGGGUUCUUCACAGGGGUUUGCUGAUGCUUCUGAUAUUGAUCAUUGUAUUGCUAGUUCAGGUACGGUUAGGGAACUUGUUCAGUAUUUUAGUGAAGCAGAGGAUAUCCCAUUUGCCUAUUCUAUUCCUACUUUCCCUGUUGUUAGAGAAAGGAAGCCAGUUCCAAGUUUUUUGCAAAUUGGUGAGGAGCCUCCUCCGGAGCACAUUCCAGCUUGGCUACCUGCAUUUCCUGAUCCUCAAACUUAUGUUCAGUUGCCCACAGAGAAUGAAGGGGCCACUGAUUCUAACACACGGAAGUUUGAGCUGGCACGGCUGCACACAAGGACUGAUAGGUCUCUACCGAACUUGCAGAAUUAUACUGGCAAUGGGUCUGGGGGUCCUUCCUCUGUUGCCCCUGUUGGUGGUUCUGAGGCAAAACUAGCGGUUGAAGGUAACCCAUUUCUUGCUGCUCCAUUACAGUUUGGAGAGAAGGAAGUUUCCCAUGUUGUUCCUCCAGCUAAGCCUUCAAAUGAAGCUGCUGUGAGAAAUCUUAUUGAUCAAAAUUGCCUUCUGGAUAAUCAUGUGCCAGUGCUGGAUACAUUUGCUCCACCUAUUGAAGCAAUGAAGAGCUGGUCGUGUGAUUCUGAGGAUGGUCAGAAGAAGGUUCUUUUGAAUCAAAGACCUGCUGUACAAUUCAAGAUUGGGGUUGGCAAGAAGUCCUUGGGUAUAGCACUAGAAUUGAGCUCACAGAAUAAGGGUGUUGAGAAGAUGAGCCCAUGGUCUGGAAAGGAUAGUGAGAAGGAUGAUAAGAAAAUAAGGGCUGAGAAAAUUCUGAAACAGUCUACAGAUAACCCAAGGGAACUGGCUCAGUUGUAAAAUAGGUUUGAUUAGAAUCUGUAUACUUGUUUAGGAAACUAGCAGCAGAAGCUGGUUCCUGGUAGUUAAAGUCAAGGCUUGUGGUUGCCAGCAUAUGGCUUUAGGAGGGAAUUACAGAUUGUGAAGGGGAAUUUUUUUCCCACUUUAAGAAGUUUUGGAGAAUACGGUGAGGAAGAGACCGAAUUAUUGUGUCAAAACAGUUCUAUGAAAGUACUACUUGGAAAACAGUUGCCUGCGACACCCAGCAGAUGGCACUCGUAGACCAAUUGGCUCACCAGUCACAACCUCACUUAUUAGAUCUUUAAAGAUCAAGCGCUCAACACCCAGAACUAGCCAUGGAAUUUCACUUCUACAAGUCGUCCAAUGUGUUGAUUGAUGCAUCAAAUCUGCCUGUAAUAUGUUUAUCAAACUGUCAUUCUCAUCAUCUAAGCUGCAGCUAGAGGCAUUCCCUUGCAGUCUGUCUACCUCUAAGCAUAAUUCGCCCAAAAGCUGCUGUCCUCUUGGUCUUUUGUCUGCCAGCAUAUUUGGUGAGUGCCAAUGCUUGGAAGAACUUUCCAGACGUAACUUGUGUGCUAGAAUUUCAUUCACAACAUCAAAUACAAGUUUUCUUUGGAUUUUGAUAUGAUGUUCUGGCUGGAAAGUCUUUGUUCCGCUCUCUUCAUCAUUUGAAUGCGUGGUUUUUGCCUUAGCUUGUUCCAGAGCAAGGAAUAAGUUAGGGUUGACUGGGUAGCCUGUUUGUCGGAGGUGAAUGGCUGUAAAACCAGAUUCAAAAUCUCUAAGGAGACCUGAUGCUAAUAGGAUUUCUGAAAUGUAUUGAUGGUCUGGAUUUUGGCUACUGAAGUGGGGUGUAAUUUCAUCAAUGAUGAGUUCCUCCCGAGCAGAUAACAUCUGUGUAAGAUUCUGAAUUAAGAGAUGGACGGUCUCCAAUUUCCGAUGAUUGAUAAGAAGGUGGAGACUGGAGUUUGUGCUGCUGCUGGAAGAGUGAUUUAAGUCCCCUGAAUUCCACUCAAUCUCAUCUUCUGUAGCAAGAAAAUUGAACUGGGAAUUAAGAAAUAACGCAUUUUGCAAUAAAUACAUCCAUAAGAGUUCAAUCU